UAGGGAAUCUUCCACAAUGGACGCAAGUCUGAUGGAGCAACGCCGCGUGAGUGAAGAAGGUUUUCGGAUCGUAAAGCUCUGUUUUUGGUGAAGAAGGAUAGAGGCAGUAACUGGUCUUUAUUUGACGGUAAUCAACCAGAAAGUCACGGCUAACUACGUGCCAGCAGCCGCGGUAAUACGUAGGUGGCAAGCGUUGUCCGGAGUUAUUGGGCGUAAAGCGAGCGCAGGCGGAAUGAUAAGUCUGAUGUGAAAGCCCACGGCUCAACCGUGGAACUGCAUCGGAAACUGUCAUUCUUGAGUGCAGAAGAGGAGAGUGGAAUUCCAUGUGUAGCGGUGGAAUGCGUAGAUAUAUGGAAGAACACCAGUGGCGAAGGCGGCUCUCUGGUCUGCAACUGACGCUGAGGCUCGAAAGCAUGGGUAGCGAACAGG
rnacentral:rRNA from 1 species